rnacentral:lncRNA from 13 species
UGGUGCUGGGCUUCGUGCUUGGUCUGACCUGGAGCCUUCUGUGUGGAGAUACCUCCGGCUAGCAACAAGUAAAUAUAGCAUAUUUACUUGUUGUAUAUAAUAUAACAUAACAAAUGCAAAGGAUUGUUGAUGUGUUGGUUUCAGUCCUUCUGCUGUAACCCCUAUCUGCACUCUAUAUAUUCAGUGUCUUUGAUUCUGCAAUCGAUUGGUAUCAAUGACCCCUGUUUUUGAUUCGGGUGUGUUACCAAGUUAUUUGUAGAUAAAUAAACUUUUCAAGUGGCGAUUCAACAUGCAAGGGUCCUGGGCUGUUUCAUUAUCCUCAAGAGCUGUGAGAUUUGUGUUCCACAGGGCAUAAUGCCUCCACCCAAACUGGCCACAGCAAUUCAGCAGAGCAAUGGGACACUGAGGAAGAUGGCGCUUGCACCUGUUUCUGCUUGGCUCUGUGCCUAGCUAACUCCUGGAGACUGGACUGGACUGGACUGCAGCUGGAAGGAUGCCAGGAUAUUUGGUUUAUGAGGGAGGGAAAGAGGAACAGAGAACCUUGAAUUAGUU